AAGGUCGUAGAGUGCGACUGCGAGAAGGAAUGGUGGGACAAGCUGGAGUGGGACGAUGGUUCGCAGGCGAGCCGCUACAAGCCGAUCCACUCGCGGUACUACAAGAAGACCCUGCUCAGGAGGACCGUGCUCAGGUGAGGUGAUUCCGACCGGCCAUUCGUUGAACUGCGGCAGCCAGACUGCCGGAGUCGCUGGCAUUGCCUGCUGGUGAGUGGUGACUGAACCCAUCUCCUACUGCUAUUUCUGCUUUUGCAUCUGUGUCUUCUUGAUUGGUUUGCCUGCUUGCGUCCGCGUGGUCUGUCAUCUGCAUCGGUUUGCUCUGCUUUCGUUUGUUUGGUCGGUGUUCCUCGAUGGAUCGAGGCGUCCGUCCAUGGCUAGACCUCAGAUUGAAAGUGUGUGUUAUCAUGCCAUCUUGUUGGAUAAGAUGGUGUGAAGUGUGAUGCAGAGUUCCGGACAGACCUGUGAUCUGUCCGGAGCUGCAAGAAAUAAAAGCAAGAGCCAGCAUUCAGUUCAGCGGCGGCUGAAUUCCCUUCAGCUCGUGCAACAGCAGAGCAUGAGGCUAGCAUGCACUCGUGCUCGCUGGGGCCAAUUGCUGCGCUCUUUGCCUGGUGUGUUUGUGGUGCGAACUAUAUUUCUGUGGCGUGUGAGCUUUCAGACCAUGAGCUUUGUGUGGAAUGAAUGGGGUGAUCAAUGUUACUGUUGCUCCAAUUAUAUGAACAAAUAAAUAAAUGGGCAUGGUUGUCUA